UUUAGCAGGACAUUUUGGACAGAAUACAACACUAGAAGAACUUUUUUUUUUUAUUGUCUCUCUAUUGCACCAAAAUCUGUAGAGCUGUGUGUAUGAAAUCUCAAUACACAUUCAUUAUAUUUCACAGCUUCCAGAGCCCGAGCAAUACUAUGGAAGAGGAGAGCACACAAUCUGCAAGCCAGAGCCAUCUUGUUGGAUGGACUGAUUACAGAAUCUCUGUGGUUUCUGGAGAAACGUACAGGGUCCGGAAGACGCGCUUCAACAUUCUAUCGCUCUAUGACUGCGAGAGCUAAGUUACUUCUACAAGCAACCAAAAUUCUGGUCGACAAUGUCUACUCUGAUGCAAAGUUGAUUGAGAAAUGAUUCAUGUUUGAUCUGUCUCUUAUAACUCUGUGAAAUAUGGAUGACCGAGAAGGUAGAGUUGAAUUCAAUGAAGCUUUUCAAAAUCC